rnacentral:lncRNA from 1 species
GCUGUAGGUACUGAACAGUCUUGAACAUGAAGCAAUUCUAUGUGUCAAAACAGAGAAUGUGUCAAAACAUUUGUUGAUAAGGAAUUUCUAGGAUAAAAUGUAGCUAGAGCUGAAUUACAGAUUAAAUUCUCCAUCCUAUAGGAGUAUCAGCCAAAAUCAUAAAGGUCUCUUUCCAGUCUCUAAUCAGUGUAAAAAUCUAACUUUUAAAAAUCAUAAGGAACAGAUCUAUUUGUAUAUAUUUGAUACAGUAGAGAGGUCAGUAUGAAAUUGUUUUGUCCUGCACACUGCUC